AGAUACAAAGAACUCAUUACGCGUUUUAUUGAUUGCUGUUCGUUCGAUAUGUGCUCAAUGAUGUAAUGCUCUUCUGCUUUUUUUUUGUCACUAUGUUGGACAACCUGACGGACGUCAGAACCUCGAAGAAGAUAAAACAACUCUACGUAUUGUUGGCUUGGACAACACUGAAGAGUCACAAGGGGUUUGGUGUUGAAGAAUUGUUUCCUUGGAGGGAAGUAAUUAGCGUGGAGGAACAUCCCUAAGAAGUGAUCUGUGUGGCUAAGCUAUGGAAUGGUAUAACAAAACUCUUCGAGUUUCUGGACAACUGUAAAAAUGAACCAGUGAUGUGGAAUUCAUGUUCACCACAUCAUUAGAACUGAGAUACUGUUUGUGAUACCUGGAAAACAAUUGAAAUCAACAGUAACAUGAAGUUUUCGGUUCAAGAACUGAAAAGAUAAGACCCUUUCAUGGUGUCCUUUAGAAAAGGCUCAUCUGAAAAGUGGAAAUAGGAUGAAUGAUUUUUACAUGCCAACAUGGUUUGUAUUUAAAACAAUGCCAGGAUUCCUGUUGGAUGAAUAUGGUCCAUGACACAAUAAAAAACAGAGGUCAAGAAAUUUGAAGACAGCACUUAUAAUGAUGACGAGAGUGCAUUUGGUGUCAUACCACAGGCUGGAGGACUUGAACAGACUGAUGCUGAAAAUGAAGCAUUUGGGUUACCCUCGGGCAGUUCAGAUUCCUUAAAAAGGAAACUUAAUGAGACAGAGGACUGCAAAUUGAAAAUAUAUCAGGCAUUUUCUUUACUUACAAGUAGUGGCAGAAAGACCCUAAAAGGAAAAGGAGAUACACGUAAAUUUUUUGGGAAUUUUGCGGGAGCUAAACUUCAGGUGAAGGGUGAGGACUUUUUUUUUUUUUUUUAAAGGGGAGUUGCUGUCUAGUGUAUAAAUUACAUUUUUUUUCCCUUUUUUUAUGCGAAGAGGAUGGUGUCUG